GGAUUGAUGGUGACUAACAUAUAUACAUUUUUUGAAAGGUGAACAAAAUGAGUGAAAACUCAGUACCAUCGUCGUCAUCAACAUGAGGUCC
rnacentral:snoRNA from 1 species